rnacentral:lncRNA from 1 species
UUUGUUUAUUUUAGAGGGAGAGCGCAUAUGAUUGGCGGGAGGGGCAGAGGGAGAGAAUCUCAAGCAGAUUCCUCCCUGAGCACAGAGCCUGAGGUGGGGCUCUAUCUAACAACCCAUGAGAUCAUGACCUGAGCCAAAACCAAGAGUCAGGUGCUUAACCAAAUUAUUCACCCAGGCACCCUCAAAUACAUUUUCAAGAGGGAGUAAGCCAUACAUUUAUUCCCUACAGCUACUUCUUUGGUGAUAUACAGAGGUUUCCUCACAAUGUUUUUUUUUUUUUUUUUUCCCCUUUCUCCUUCCACCUACUUCCCCUUACAGUGUUUAAAGAAGCACACCUAGGGGUGCCUGUGUGGCUUAGUCGGUUAAGCAUUGCUUUAGGUCAUGAUCCUGGGGUUGGUCCUGGGAUCAAGCCCCACAGCAGGCUCUCUGCUCAGCAGGGAGUCUGUUUGUCUCUCUCCCCAUCCCUCUGCCCCUCCCCACUGCUCAUGCUUUCUCUCUCUCUCUCACUUGCACACUCUCUCUCAAUAAAUAAAAUCUUAAAAAAAAAAAAAAAAGCACACGUACUUGCUGAAUGAGAUGAGAUCUUUCAAAAGCAGAAUAAAAGACUUAAAGCCAUUAGUAUCCUUCCUUUAAUGUCAACAAAUAAGCCAUCUAGUUUCUUUAGAACCUUCAAAGGAUCUUGCAGGGGGUAAAUUAUGCUCCUGAUUGAAUUUAUUCAAGGAAACUUUAUUUCUCUAUUGUCCUAUUUCUCCUUUGUUCCUGUUUAUAUCCUGACUUCCUAGGGUGGCUGGCACAUAGCACCUGCUUAAAAUGUUGGUUAUAUUGAAAUUACGAGCAUAAAUGUCGGAUGAAUGUCUGCAACCCCAGCAUGAGUCUCAAACUAGCCAUGUAGUACACAUUAGUUAUAAACUGGACCAUCAGCCUCCCUCUUAACUAAUCAGAUUGCAUGCUUCAAUUAAUCUGUCUUAGCCAUGCUUACUAUGGAAAAGGGUGGUAUAAAGAUUUAUGGGCCAGAAAUAAUGGGGACAGCUGGAGUUUAAAUGGGAAAGUGCACAGGUGAAUUUCAGAGACAGAAGGGUAGCAUUAACAGCAACGUCUAUGAUUACAGAUUGUUUGUUUUGCGUCUAUAGUCAAUGGAUUAGUUUCCUCCUCAUAUGGGAUAGUUCCUUGGUGCCCAUGAUAUAGCAUGGCCCCUGAUUUGUAAGGACAUCUGUCUUCUAAAGAGCAUAACAUAUCUUUGAUUUUCAGUCUGGUAAUCUUGCUAAUAAGUCCUAAAACAAACUGAUUUUUUUUUUCCAGCUUAAACUGUAGAAGGGUUACUGAGCCUAGAAAUUACAGUUCCCAAUGAGACUUCAUGUUAGAUUUCAACAUUUUACAGUUAUCUACCUAGAGAGCUAUAUACUCCCAUCCCCCUUCUUAAAACCCUAUUUGUGUUAUACCAUAUCGGCCAAAGUCUACUAAGUUGGACUCUGUUCAAAUAACAGAAAGAUAAAGUAAGGGUGUGCAUAUUUCAGACAUCUUAAUGUGGGCCUACACGGGAGAAUUUGAGUUUUGCAGUGAAAAACAUUAGCAGUAUGUCAUAUACAAAUUGUAUUUUCAAAAACCAUGUUUUAACUUUUAACAUUUUCAAAAUAAGUGAUAUUUAUAAAAACUAAAUUUAAUGGUAGAACAUGUUUUUAAAAUAAACAUAUCCCAGGGCACCUGGGUGACUCAGUUGGUUGAGCAUCUCCCUCUGGCUCAGGUCAUGAUCCCAGGGUCCUGGGAUGGAGCCUCACAUCAGGCUUCCUGCUCAGCAGGGAGCUUGCUUCUCCCUUUCCCCCACUUGUGCUCUCUCUCGCUGCUCUCUCAAAUAAAUAAACUCUUAAAAAAAUAUAUAUAUAUAUCCCUACCCAUCUGGGUGUGCAUGGUUUUUCCCAUUUGUACAUAUAAUUUCCUCAAAUUAUUAAGCACUGUAUUUUGGUAACAACAUGAUGGAUUCAUAAGCUUUUAUGCACACAGUACAUGUUUAUUAGAGUUGAUUUGGGCAUAAUUUUCAGAGACAACUAUGGGCAUAAUUUAUAUCUAAUUAAUAGACUUUUUAAGUAGUUACCUAUCUCAUUUUGUUUAGAUUUUCUCCACCUUGGCACUACUGAUGAUUUGAACUGAAUAAUUUUUUGUUGAGGGGGGUGGCGGAUCCUGUGCCUUAUAGGAUAUUUAGCAGCAUCUCUGGCUUCUAACCACUAGAUGCCGGGAGUAUACCCCAAUCCCCCAUUCAGCGGUGACAUCUCCAAGAUACUGCCAAAUGUCCCCUGGUGGGCAAAAUUGCUUCCAGUUGAGAACCACUGGUUUAAAACAAGUAAAAUAUACAUUUUCUCUUAUGAGAAAACUUCUUUAUAGUCUUUGUACAUGAUAAGAUCCUGUAUUAUAGUUAUCAACCUCUGGACAAAUACAGUCUUACUUGAAAGGUUAACACAACUUUUGUUUUAAUACAUUUGAAAGUUAAGGAUGGAAUGAGGCAAAACUUACCACAAGGGGACUCUCAGGAAGUAAAUGAGUCUUUUUGGCUAUGUUAUCCUGUCUUGAAUCAUUGUAGAAGAAAAUUGGCCAUGGAUAAUCUCCCUUUCAUAAAAUAAGUUCAUUCAAUAUGGAAGGAAAAUAAACUCCUUUAGGCCAUUUUCAGUAAAACCCAGGUUGGAGGUAGCAGUAACUGUGUUAUAAGGAUUAUGCAGGAAUCUGCAUAAGGAAUAAUAAUUUUAAAAACCUGUUUGAAAUGCUUCUGUUGAAAAUAUUUAUUAAAUAUAUAAUUACACCAUAUUUAGGAAUAUCGUUAUUUAUAAUGUCAGGAUCAUCAUCCUAAACACUGAUUUUCAUUGUUGGUAUUUAUGGGAAGUUGCCCCCUACUUUUUUAAAGAUUAUUUGUUGAGAGAGAGAGAGAACCCAUGAUUGGGAGGAGGGGCAGAGGGAGAGAGAGAGAGACAAUCUCAAGUGAACUUCACAAUGAGCAUGGAGCCCGACACGGGGCUCCAUCUCCUCAUCCCAAGAUCAUGACCUGAGCCACCCAGGCGCCACUGGGGAAAUUGCCUUUUCAAACAAAUCCCUUAUACUGUCUUUGUUGCAAUUUGUUUUUUUCCUAAAAAGUUGAAAUAUAGGUAGGAAAUCAGUGAAUGAAUCUAAGCCAUUCUCCUGUAGCUAUCUCACUGGGGCACUGUGUCCUAGCUUAUAUACUCAAUCAGCUGGGUUGGAACCGACUCAGGAGUAGACUCGGGGAUGGCCCCAGGGGCAAAGAUGGGGCAGAGGCUGAACUGUCUGUGGGGACAAGUUCAUGUUUAGGCUGCUGUCCUGUAUCUUUCCUAAAGAGUAUCAAGCGAGUGAUUCUCCAACAGAACUCCUUGUCUCUGCUCUUUGACAGAACAAAUUAUUAAGACAUCUAAGAUUUUAAAGCACUUUGAAGAUUAAUGAUUGGCUAUAAAUCCUAUUUAAGACCAAUCUCUUUGAUAAAUCACUUUAGGGAUAAUAACUUAUAAAUGGCAAGAAAAAGGUCUCUUCUGUUAAUGACUCACUGUGGUUAAUGGUUUACACAGUCAUUACAUAGCUUUACAUGCAUGAGACUAAAAAGACACGAAGAAGCCUGUCACUCUGGAACAGUCUGGAACAGUCUGAAACGACUGCUAUGGCAAUAGACUGAGCUGUUUAUACAGUGUUUCCACCUGAGGCACUGUCCUGUGAAUACUCAAAUACUGACACAGUUUCAGGAUUAAGAUCUAACUUCUGAAAACAAUAGCUCACUCUGUAUUUAUUAACUGGCUAAAUAUUUUAAGCAAGUUCUACCCCCCCCCCCACUUUGGGAGAAAAUAAACCCUGGGAAUUAUGCCUAAUUCUAGCAGGACUUAGGAGGAAAGAACCAGCAUAUACACAGGCUUACGUACAAUGGCACCAUGAACAUAAUUCUGCUGCCCCCAGGGAUCUUUAUUUAUGUGGCAAUUAGGUGACACACAAAGGACAAUGUCAAGAAUGUGACGCCUGAGCUCCUCAGCUCAGCCCAGCAAUUGAGAGAACAAGACAGAGUGCAGUUUUCAAAAAGCCAGCCUGGGCUGCAUCUGAAAACCACACCCUUGGUCCCAAUUUGCUUACAUUUGCUACAUUUUAAUUUUACAAAGUACUUUCACAAGGUCUUAUUUUAUGAUAACCUCUUAGGGAUAUAUUCAAACCAUUGCCCAGAAAGGAAAAAGAACAUUUACCAUAUAUGCCUACAGAUCCACAGGCUGUGUGCUUUGGCAUAUUAUUUAAACUGCUCACAUAACAGAAUGGGAGGAUAAAGACCAAAGUUCACUACCUGUCAGAGAGUUUGAAUUGUAAUAUUCAGAUAUGGAACUCAAGUAGGAAGAAGACCAACCUAAUGCUUUGCCAACCUAUGACCACCUUUGCAAGAAUGUUUACCUUGUUUUCAUCUCCUGAGAACAACCCACUUACACAGACUACAACACGAGGGGACUAAUUUUGUAGCAAGUACUUUACCAAUAUUGUUUCCUAGCUAGAUUCCAGUAAAGGUAAAACAAAUAGGUAAGAAACAUUUACAGAAUUCUUCAUACAAUUAACAUGAAGUGCUUACCAUCUUUCUGGGGUUUAGACAUCCGGUUUCACCUUGAAAUGCUAUACUGCAUUCUGAUCUUCAAUUGCGAAGAAGUAAUCCCGUUUCACUUAUUUCAUAAUUUUAAUGAGGGGGCUUACGAAGUUCAGUUUUGGGGGUGGGGGAGGAUUUUCUUAUUCAGUGUCUUCAAUCAAGGCUUCCCAAUCUUUUCCAAUCUUUCUGGCACAUCUGUGAAAUGACUUGUGCAUUUGUAUGUGGCUGCAAGUAACCAGCCCAAGAAUAACUUCCUCGAGGGGAACGAUUUCGAAGCACUUUUAAUGGAAAGUUCUGUUGUUUAUCGCCCCGCUGUAC